CUGACUCUGCAGCCUUUCACCUGAAGCAGCAGUAGCAACACUAGGAAAGGUUUUUGAAAUCAGAAUGUAAUUGCCUACUGAAUCAGGUUCUGUUUCACUAUACAUACCUCAAAGGCUACAGUGCCUCAGGUCCACAGUGGGCUAUGAUGGAGGCUGGAACCGGGCUGGUCUGAAAGACAAAGCAAAGAAUGGACCGGGAGUGAAGUGGGAGCAUCCUCCUCCCUUACCCUGCAGGGCAGCAAAGUGUGACUGUUAGCUAACACCCGGUGUCGGAGGUCCUUAGGGAAGGCUGUGCUCAGAAAAUAUUCCGAUGAGUGGAAGAUGAGAUCCAGAGAGCAUGACGGGUCUGUGAACGCAAGAUAGCUGAACUACCAGAGCCUGGAGGAGCAGAUUCCUGGAAGUCAGGACCGCUGUUUUCUGUUUAAAAAGUCAUGAACCAAUUUAUGGCUUUUCCCAACGGUUCUCUGCAUCUGCUGGGAGGAGCCCAUGAUUGCUGAAGCGGUUCCCGUGACAGAUGGUCAGGUGGGUCUUCCGGCUAUGAAGAGUCCAGCCCUACUGUGUGCCCCUACAGCUGGGAUCUGGUGAUUUGGGCCUUCAGACUCCUGAUUGAGGAUCCUACUGCCAGGGGACUUCCUGAAACCUCUGUGUGUGAACAGAGUGAAGCCACCAUCUCCUUCCGCAGCCCGCCUUUGCUCUUCCUGCCUCUGGCCCUCUUAUCCCCAGCACUAUCUUCCUCAGCUGCUGUAUGUGCUGAGGUGACAUGAUGCCCUGGGUGCCCCUUGCCUGAGGGAGAUUGAAGGACUGCCUGGAUCUCUCUCUCUCUUUUUUCCAGAGGGGAGAACCUGGACCUGGCGUAAUGAAGAGGCUUGUCCGAGGUCCCUGCAGAGUCAAUUACGUGCGUUUCCUGACUCCCUGCCCCUCGUUAAUCCAUUUGCUCAAUAGUAAUUACCGAGUUGGCCAUAUGUCAGGCUUUGGAGCAGGGCUGGGAACUAGUAAAGGGGACAGUGAUAAAGUCAAAUGUCCCACAGCUUCUCCUUUAGUGGGAGAGACAUUUAAUUUGCAAACAGACUCAGCCGAACAGUGACCAGUGUUGUAGGAAGGGUCUGAGGCCAGCAGAGGCGGCACAUGGAAGGGUAGUGGUCACAGAAGUAAAGUCUGUGAGGAAUGUUCCAGGCAGGACAAGUGUCGGGGGCAUAAUGGUAAUGUCAACAAGAGAGCUGGCAGGGCUGGGGACAGACUACACAGUUUUCCGGAGCUGUCUUUCUUACUGCACACACCACAGAAAACAGAGCAGCAGGCAGAUGUGAGCAGGCUCCAGGCUCUGCCAGUCUCUCUCUGAGAAAAGAACCAAGAAACUGUUAAUUAACGGCAAGGAAGACAGACAUCUAAAGGGCUGCGUGGGCAGAGGGAAGGGCCUGGCCUGCUGAGAGGGGAGGGAAGGCUGCUGAGGGGAGGAGACGGUGGAGUCCACCUGCCAGCUGUGUGGAAGCUGAGCUGGCCAGGGACGCUGUGCAGAUGGCUGGCGGGCUUGGGGAUGGAAAGGCUCCACCUCUAAGCCAGCCCCUUCCCCUUUAUCCAGCACUGUGUUUUAUCCCAUUUCACCUUUCAGCCUUUAGAGCUUGUCUUGCAAGCACAGAAAGUCUCAGGGAGACCAAGGAACAUUCGUGUCUCUUCCAGCUGCUGCUCUCCCGGGCUGUGGAGGUGGAUUUGCAGAGGGGGAUGCUGUGUGUGUGUGCGUGCGUGCGUGCGUGCGUGUGUGUGUGUGUGUGUGUGUGUGUGUGUGUGUGUGUGUGUGUGUGUGUGUGUGUAGGGUCGCAUGGCCCUGGGUGAUCUGUGUCACUGCCAGUCUCAACCAGCAGAGGGCGCUGUAAGGCCUCCAUUGCAGAAGGCAGUGCCUGGAUAGCGGUCUGGAGAGGCGCAGAGCCCAGAGCAGCAACUCAGCAGACCACACAGAUUCUUUGGCUGCCCUGAACUGUUUCUGGUGCCUCUAUGCGCAGUUGACCCUGAGGAGCAUAGAGGAAGACACCAGAGGGGCCUGUUACAUGGAGCCUGAUACACUGUUGUCCCUCUGAGCUCUCAUGCAGAUGGGUAUUUGAGCAGAUGUCCUGGAGCUCCCACCCUCCAGGCUGCCGGGUCAAGCCAUCCACUUACAUCCUCCCAUCCCACCACCACCAGGAAGUCCACUGCAGCUCCUGGCAAGCCCCCUGCCUGCUUUGGGAGUACCACCCGGCAUGCCAAGCAGAGGUGUAUCCACAGUUUUGGUAUUCACUCCUCUCAAGCCCUGGCCUGUAGGAACUGGAGAACAGAAUGCAGGCCCAGGAUCUAGGCCUAGCUCUCUCAGGCCGUGUGUGGUGAAGCAUCAGCUCAGUCUGUCUAUUCGUCUGUUCGCCAGUUGCCCAAGAAAUGCUCUGAAAAUGACAACAGGGAGGGGUUGGAGCCCCAGAGGAAAAUCCUGGCUCAAGGGGAUGCAGAAAUUCCCAUUACACCCCUGCAUGCACACCUGUGGUCACACACACACACAUGUACACAUGUGUGCGCACCUGUGAGGAUAGCAGGUGUGGUCUCAAAGAAGGGCUACUCUGGGACUCCUGUAGGAUUCUGGGUUUUCAUUAGGACAGUCACUCAUUCAUUCAGUCAUCAUCCAUCCACCAUCUAUCAAGUCCACCCUCCAUCUACCAACCAGCCAUCCAACUGUCAUCCAUCCAUCCAUCUGUUCGUCCGUCCGUCCGUCCAUCCAUCCAUCCAUCCACCUACCCACUUGUCUGUUUACCCAUGCAUCUAUCUAUGCUCUUACCAUUUAUCUGCCCACCCAUCCAUCUAUCCACACAUCUUCCAUUUCUUGUAUACAUUCAGUCCACCCAUCUAUCUAACCAAUUAACCUACCCACCCAUCCAUCUGCCCAGCUCACAUGCACAUCCAUCUAUGUACUUAUCCAACCUCUCCACCGUCCUCUGUCUGUUCAUCCAUCCAUCUAGCAGAUCUGCCUAUCCAUCCAACCAUCGAUCCACCCACCCACCCAUCCAUCUAUCCAUCCAUCCACUAGUCUAUCCUUCCUUCAUGUCCAUUCAGUCCAUCCAUCCACAUACUCACCCAUCUAUCCCCCGUCUACCUAAUCCAUCCUUCCAUCUGCACUGUCUGUCUAUCCAUCCAUCCACCCAACCAUCCCUCCACGUGUACUUGUUGGGUCACAGGAAUGAGGUGUUUAUCAUACUCGAGAUUUCCCCAUGGACGGGUACCGUUGCACACUACCGCUGGUGAUGCAGGAGCGUUCCUGUUGCUCUGCACACUUGCCAACAUUUGCUAUUGUCAGUUUUGAAAACUUUGCCCAGUCUCAUAGUUACAAAUGCUAUCUCGCUGAGGUUUUAAUCUCCAUUUUCUCGGAUGACUGACACUGUUUUAAUAUGUCCGUGGGCGGUUUUAGAAGCAGGAUGUCAUGGGCUGGAGGUGUGGCUCAGUCAGUGACAGAGCACUUGCCUAGCACGUUAGGCUCUGGGUUUGCUCUCCAGAAGUGACAACAUAUACUGCCUGUCUCUCAGGUAUCUCUAGUAGGUGUCCUUCCCUUUGGUUUUAUAAGAUUGAUUCUCUCUGUGUCUCUGUCUGUCUGUCUGUCUGUCUGUCUGUCUGUCUGUCUGUCUGUCGUUUCUAAUUUUGAGCUUAUGGCAGUCUGGGCUUAUGACAGUCUGGGAUUUGAGACAGUCAGCCCAGACUGACCUCAAACUACCCAGGUAACUAAGGAUGACCUUGAACUUCUGAUCCUCCUGCUCCCACCUCCCAAACACUGAGACAACAGCUGUGCACCAUCAAGCCUAGCUUAGUUGGGUUUGGUUUUUGUUUUGUUUUGUUUGCUUUUUUGCAUCCUGGGUACCAGUCUUUCCUAAAAGCCUGAGUGUACCCCUCCUCCUUCUGCACCUUGCCUUCCCACUCUCUUAAACAGGUCUUCUUACGAGCCAAAAUCUGAAUUUUGAUUCAGUCCGACCAACCAAUUUUCAAUUUUUCCUCUAGUGGGUUUUUUUUUCUUUUUAUGACUGCUUUAAGGAAUGCUGGCUACAUGGGCUCCAUAAAGACAUUUUUCUCCAUUUUGUUCUAGAAGCUUUAUGACGCUGGCUUUUACACUGGGGCCCAUCAAUCAUCUCGGGUUAACCUGUGUGUGUGCCAGGCAGGGGCCAGGCCCACCUCCCCCACACUCAUGCUCCCUGGUUCCUUGAGGCCAUGUGUUAGAGGACUCAUCUUUACUUUCCGAACAGCCUCAGGGUCUCCAUCAAAAUCAAUUGAUUUUACCUGUAGGUCUGUUUCUGGGCUGUCUUUUCUGUCUGUCUAGUGUCUACACUGGAGGGUCUGGACAGCUGUUUUUAUCUGAGGCUGACUUAUUUUGUAAGUAGAUCUGUUGGGACAAAAAACAGCAUGGGGGAAAACCAGAAGCAGAAAGACCAGUUUGGAGGCUAUGACACUCUGGGGUGAACGUGGAGAACUUGGACUGCUGGGAAAGGCUGAGAAGAGCCAGCCUUGGAAACAUUCUAAGGCUGAGCUGCUGUAUGGGUGUGCGGCCUGGACAUGAGGAGAUCGUGAGAAAGUGAGUAGCCUGAGGCUAAUGGCUUGACCAAUGGGAACACCUCACUGUCACCACUGAGGUUACUUUCAAGGCUGAGAGACCAAAAAAAACAGGAAGAGGGGCUUUAAAAACCAGACAAGCCAUGCUUCCUGGAGGAAGUGGCACGUGAGCCACACGAGACAUCCCUAAAAAAUGAAUGCAGGAGGGAACAAGGUCCACUGCAGAAGACAAGCCCAAACACCAGCGGCCUGGCUUCAAAGUCCUUGCUGGGUGUUUGAAUUCUGUGCCCCAAUACCACUCCAUUCCAUUUGCUCUAUGGCCUUUUUCAGAAUGGGGGUUUAUCAUUGUGCAGGUCACACUCAUGACUCAAUACGUCCUUGACCGCAGCGGUCAACUGGGCAACACCAAGGGAGUGGAUGGACGCUGUGACAGACUGCCCCAGCUCACUGACCUAGCAUGUAAAACCCAAGUCCCUCGCCUAAAGAACGGGAAUGAGGACAGCGCCCUCAGUGGCCACUACGGGUACUGCAGGUGUUCAAACUGGGCUGCUAGCCUGUGGUUAAACUGCAUUUGCCGACUUGUCACUUGUCACAUUCAACAGACCAGAAAACAGGAGGCCCAGGGCAGGCUAGGCAGAAAGAGAAGUUAGCCCUAGCUCGCGCUCUCACCUCAGGAGUCCUGGCUAUCCCACAUGUCCCAGAGUUAUAGUGUGACCAUCCAGGCCACGACUUGCUUCACAGAAACCUCUGCUGAAUUAACAGAGCAAAGGCAAGCAGCAUGUGACUGACAGGCACCCAGGAAACAGCUCUCCUCAUGUUCUGUGGGAGCUGCAGGGGUGCACAUCCAUUUGGAAGGGUCUUCUGGGAGCUGGCUUAAAGCCGAAGAAAGGCACUUAGCCUUCCGGGUGUAGACAGUGUCAGUAGAUAGCGCUUGAGUGCACAGCUCUGGGGGUUGGGGAUUUA
rnacentral:sRNA from 1 species